CCUACGGGUGACAGCAGUGGGGGAUAUUGCACAAUGGGGGAAACCCUGAUGCAGCGACGCCGCGUGGGCGAAGAAGGAUUUCGGUAUGGAAAGCCCUAUCAGCAGGGGAGCAGAAAUGAGGGUGCCUGAGUAAGAAGCACCGGCUAAAUACGUGCCAGCAGCCUCCGUAAUACGUAUGGUGCACGCGUUAUCCGGAUUUACUGGGUGUAACGGGAGCGCAGGGGGCACUGCAAGCCUGAGGUGAACGCCCGCGGCGCAACCGCUGGACAGCGGUGGGAACUACCGGGCUGGAGUGCGGGAGAGGUAGGCGGAAUGCGUGGUGUAGCGGUGAAAUGCGUAGAUAUCACGAGGAACACCAGUGGCGAAGGCGGCAUACUGG
rnacentral:rRNA from 1 species